UUACUAUGUACAAAUUCAUCUGAGUGAAUUGUUCCAGCUUUUCAAUCUGCGCGAGCUCGACAAAUCUAUCAUCAGUUGCUACGUUCUAAUGAAGAUUAAGAAAUGCAGAGUAAGGAAUAUCCAUGAUGUUGGGUUCAUUGACCCACACAUCGUUAAUGGAUAUGUGUUGGAGCAUCACCCCGCCGACAUGGAGGCAGACCUGUGGCAGUUUCUUACAAAGCAGGAACUUAAAAGUGAUAUUCUAUUUCCUUACCAUUUUGGGUUCCACUGGAUUCUGCUAGUAAUUAAAGUUGACACCGCAGAAUGUCUCGUCCACGACUCUCUGAAUAAGGAUCCAAAGCUUUGG